UGUAGGAGGUAAAUCCAUUAAUUUGUUCAUUACAUAUAUGGAGCACUACCUGAGGGGUUAUGACUGUGGGAUGCUAAUGCAAGGCACUUAUUGUCUCUCUGAAUUAUUUUUAUUAACUAAUAAAAAAUUGGAGGUAGGAAGAGCUCCAGAAUUAGUGCCAGAUCACUAUUCAAGUCCUGAUAGUGCCACUUACAGAUUGUGGCCCAAGCAAGUUACUUAAUCCUCAGAGCCUCAGUUUUCUUAGCUAUAAAAUGGGACUGCUAAUAAUUUCCUGCCCAGGAUUAUUAAAGGAAUAAAUGAGAUAGUCUUUGUGAAACUGCUGCUACUGCAUCUCUUGCUUAGGGAAUAUUGGUUGACUUUAUAUUAUAUUCUGUUCUUUAUUUGGAGUAAGUCUGGCU
rnacentral:lncRNA from 1 species